AGCAGCCGCGGUAAUUCCAGCUCCAAUAGCGUAUAUUAAAGUUGUUGCAGUUAAAAAGCUCGUAGUUGAAUUUCGGGAUCAGUUCGCUGGUCGUGCCUCUGGUACGUACUGGUGUUACUGGUUCCUCCCUUCUGACGAACUGUCAUGUCAUUAAUUUGGUGUGGCGGGGAAUCAGGACUGUUACUUUGAAAAAAUUAGAGUGUUUAAAGCAGGCUCGCGCUUGAAUACAUUAGCAUGGAAUAAUGAAAUAGGACGUUCGAUCCUAUUUUGUUGGUUUCUAGGAUUGACGUAAUGAUUAAUAGGGAUAGUUGGGGGCAUUAGUAUUCAAUUGUCAGAGGUGAAAUUCUUAGGAUUUAUUGAAGACUAACUACUGCGAAAGCAUUUGCCAAGGAUGUUUUCAUUAAUCAAGAACGAAAGUUAGGGGAUCGAAGACGAUCAGAUACCGUCGUAGUCUUAACCAUAAACUAUGCCGACUAGGGAUCGGAUGAUGUUAAUUUUUUAAUGUACUCAUUCGGCUACCG
rnacentral:rRNA from 1 species